CAUCACUGCACAUGGACAACAGCAGCAGACCAUCGCACACUCCGCCGCCGUCCCACCAACCACCUCUCCUAUCCGUUUGUGAGUACUCCCACUCCGCUGCCUCUCUUCUUCCUCCUCCUUCAUUGUCUUUGAUUCACGAAAUCACUCGUUCGAGAUUAUCAAAACUCUGUAGUAAAUGAAUGACAGAUAAUCAUGAAAAUCAAAUCAACGAUCAAUUUUUUUUUCUGAUUUGAAGGAAGAGAUAUUCUCGGAAAAGAAUCGGACUUUAAUAGAAAGCAGAAUUCUUCGGUCAAAUGAACUUAGAAAAUCAUCGACUUCAGGGAUCCAAUUGUGAUUUUUUAAUAAUAAUAAUAAUAGUAAUGAUACUAAUAAUAAUUUAUCCUAAAAACUUUAAAGAGAAGCUCAAAUCAAGUUGUGGAAGCGUCACUAAUGUUUUCUUUAAAUUAGGUUGUCGACAUCAUAUGUUUUAGGUGUGACUCUUAGAAUUCAGCGUGAAUGCCGACGACCUUUUUUUUAGGAACAUGUUUGCUUCAUAUCAAGGAAUUGUAAUUCUGAGUUAUAAUCCUUGGAUUAUAAAGUCAGAUUUUAUAUGGAAUAACGAAUAGCAAUAUUUUGGCAUAAAAUUUAUCUCUGAUAUUAAUUAAUACCCACAAUUAAACAUAUAAUAAAUGUAAUCUUAAAUUUUAUACUGAGAGUAGAUUAUCAUCUCGGUAAUCAAACGACACCUUAGUGUCGAAGUAUCUACUUAGCAGUUCUUUGGGAAGGAAAUACUUCAAGUUACAACUUUUCUUAUCAGACUUUAAAAAUCUCUAGAAAGUCGUAAUUAAUUUAUUCUUAACAUUUUGAAUAUAUUUUACUCAUAAAAGAUGGUUUUAAGCAUUUUUCUGGACUUAUUAAAUUUGUAACUUUUAGGAAAAUAAAUUAGUAUGCUAAUUCCUGCGGUAAUAAUAUAUAGUUUUUCCAUAUUGACUCGUAUGGAGUCAGUCCGACUAUUGAUGGUUAGCAGAAGAGACAGAUGUCAGAAGAGGAAAUUAUUUAUGCCAAUAAUGGAUUAUAAAAUUGAAAAUUGGAAAAUUGAGUAGAAGAUGAGACAAAUAAGUGAAUGGAUAUAUGGAAGCCGCGUCAGCAGCAAAGUCAGCAACACAUUCAAAACACUGCUCUGUUCUGAUUCAGAUUUGAGACGUUUCAACCGAAUUAAUGAUAUCCACCCCCCUUUUGACUAGCCAAUUGGCAUUCUUCCUUUUCUUCUUCUUCGUACUCCCAUUACUUAACCAAAACAGCAAGUUGUCUUAAAAGUCAUCUUUGGUACAUUUCAUUUGAUGAACAUUAACUCAUACACCUAUUUAAUAACGAUGUUAUUUAUUUCAACUGUUUGACAUGCUUUCCAUCUUAGUUAACAAUUUCAAAAUUUACCCUAAAAAAAUGAAUAACAGUUGAAUUUAUACGCGUUUUUAAGGAUACGUGAUAUAACUUGGCACACAUUAAAAAGACAGAGUAAUAUUGAAAUUAACGAUAAGAAAAUAAAUGCAAACCACACAAAUUGAACAGCCUUGGCCUUAGAGUUCGAUUACCCUCGAGCCAAGAGAUGCCUCUUCUUAUGCAAGAACAGAAUAACAAGGUGAUAAGAGCUAGAAAUAACAGUAAAUUGCUUUGUAUUACGUAUUUCAAUGUGAGUUACAAAUGAUCAAACCUCCCUUUAUAUAGUAGGGAUGUCUUACUAUUGAUAAAACUCUAUACAAUGUAAAAGAUCUCAUGAUUUGCUAAUUAAUUGGCCUCUCCUUGAUACGUGCCGAGAUUUUUAUCGUGAUUUCUAACUGAUCGCGGAUAUUUUGGCCUUCUGUUAUUCGACUCGGUAAAUUUUCCUCGAUCUUGUUUGAUCUUGAUUCUGUUCUGUCACGGGGUCAUGAGCCCAAUGAUGCAGUUUCGCACCUCGGUUCGAUAUAACUCGAGAUCGAACUUCAACCUGUCACGCUUCAGUCUCGAUUGGUUAUACAAUAGGCGAACCUGGUUUCGACUGUAUACAAAUACUCCCCUCAUUUUUCGGAGAGAAUAUGAUGAGAAACGAUAAGAACCUCGAACCCUGCUUCGAUAGACCAUGACGUAAGCGACAAACAGUCACUAAAACGUCCCGUCGAUUCAGUUACCAAGGCAUUAAAUGUGCGUCAGUUGCUUGUCGGCCAGUACGGGUUUUGAAUUACCACUAGCAGACUAUAAAUAUCAUGAUUUUCAUUCAUUCAAACUUUACGUCCAAAGUUUCUUCCAUCUUUGUUCUUCAAGAAUCUCUUCGCUUUCCAACCUUUGUACCCAAAUUUCUUGAACUUUCUGCAAACCGCUAAACACACCCUUUUAACUCCUCCUCCUUCAUCUUUGCUCUAAAAUGGCGAAAAUCUCUAAUUAAGUUUAGUCGCGUAAAAUAGGCAAUAAUUACGUAUUUUAGUCGUUUAUUACGCUCUAAUUUACUGUACUUUAAUUAAGUUUGAAUUUUAAUUGCUAGUGUUUUGCACUAAAUGUGUGAUUUAUAUGUUGUAGGAGUGAUUCCGAUCUAUGUAGAUGUUACGGAAUGAAUUCAAGUUAUUAUGGAGCUUUGAAGUCUAAGUAAAAGCCCAAGGAUUAAGUUGGGAUCGUGUUCGGGGAUCAACGGAUGAUAGUGCACUUUAAGAACGAAACGAAGAAUCGAGCAGGCAUACUACGUAUUGUCCAGUAAAAUGCACAUAACUUUUCCCUCAAAAAACCGUUUAGGCUCAUCGUUGGAAAGCUAUUUAAAAGGGCUACAACUUUCAUGUUUUACAUUUUUCUAAAUUUCCACAACUGCGUCGCAUGGGGCGCUGCGUAGCGCGCCACGACUGUGAAAAUUGUUGUUGUCCUCAAAUUGCAUGCUCUCUGAAGUUCCCCACAAGCAAAUCGUGUGGUGCGUCGCCCCAUGUAGUGCGCCUGUGCAAAUUUUACAGAGCUAGAGUCCUAUUUCGCGCAGGAAAAGGUGUUUCAUCUGGGCCCAACCCUACUUGGUAUAAAUACAUGUAAAAACGCUAUUUUGAGGACUUUUGGCAUACUUUAGACCUGGCAUUCGACCUAAGGAGGCAAGAACACACUAGGAGCAAAGCGGAG
rnacentral:lncRNA from 1 species